GUGGGUCUGGCCAACCCAGAGAAAUGGCUGGUUGGGCACCCGUGGCAGCCCCCAGCCCUCCUUCCCCCACUAGCAGCCGCCGACGACGCCGCUGGGAAGGGUCCGGAAUCAGGAUCAGGAACCACCGGGUAGCUGCAAAGGUCAAAGGUCAGACAUGGGUUUCCUGCCCACCCCUGGGAACUUCCUUCUUCUCAACUCUACACUCGCCUCACUGAGCACCACCCUGGAGUACCCCUCCGCUCUGUCAACGACCCCUCCCCACUCUGUUACCCUGGCUAAUGGGGGGACGGGUCCCCACGCCCCAGCCUUCACAUUGCCCUACAGAGGACAGCAAUUGCAUGAUUGUCACCUGUCCGGAGUCCAGCCUCCUUUCCGGCUCCCUGCUCCUGUUCC
rnacentral:lncRNA from 1 species